GACGAACGCUGGCGGCGUGCUUAACACAUGCAAGUCGAACGAAGUGGCGAACGGGUGAGUAACGCGUAAUCAACCUGCCCUUCAGAGGGGGACAACAGUUGGAAACGACUGCUAAUACCGCAUACUGAAGGAGGGGAUUGCGUCUGAUUAGCUAGUUGGAGGGGUAACGUCCCACCAAGGCGAUGAUCAGUAGCCUGUCUGAGAGGAUUAACGGCCACAUUGGGACUGAGACACGACCCAGACUCCUACGGGAGGCAGCAGUGGGGAAUCUUCCGGAAUGGACGAAAGUCUGACGAAGCAACGACGCGUGAGUGAUGACGGCCUUCGGGUUGUAAAGCUCUGUUAAUCGGGACGCGGUACCGGAAUAGAAAGCCACGGCUAACUACGUGCCAGCAGCCGCGGUAAUAC
rnacentral:rRNA from 1 species